AAAAGAUCGACGCACAGAGGAAAGGCCCCAGCUGUUGACGUCUGCCGACAGGCGCGCGCUGUGUGGGUCCAGGCGAAGGCUGCGGGCGGUGUGAGUUCCUUUCUCACGCGUUUUUUCGCCAAAAAGCGACAGAGACCAGGAUCCAACGGCAGGCCUUGGCACCCGUUGUGUUGUCUCGCAUCGGCAGAAAAGCAGUCCUCAGGAGCUGAGCAGGCUUCUCUUCGUUCCGCGCGAGCGGCGGCAGUGUCUUCCGUUACAGCAUCGAUGACCAGGAGGCGCCGGACUGAGUGAAAUGAACACGAACCUGGCCCCCAGGAAACUGUCUAUAUCGAUGCGUUGCCGCAAGCUACGCGCGACCGCUUACAGCCGUCGGCGUGGUGCGGACGGACACCCUGUGUGGAGUGCAAAGAGACACGCAUAGAGUCAUCGAAAUAUUCAGUUCAAAUUUCAUCCAGUUUGAGUUCUCUGAUAGUGCAGAUCCCCGCAGAGCGACUGCACACCAGCGUCGCGGGCGUGUGAUGGAGUUGAUCCAUGUUGUUGGGUACAGGCAAAUCAACACCCGCGACAGAAGCGUUUUCGGCAAGCGCAAAGAAGAGGAGGAGCCGAGGACCCGAUUUGGCGUUGCUUGUUAGACGCGUCUUCACCACCAAGACUAGGAACGACGCAGUUUCAGUGCAGCACCGAGAGGAUCACGGAGGCCUUUCAAGCACAAGCAGUCUGUUUUUAUGCAGAAGGCCAGAACCGGAGACGUGGGAGGGAACAGAGGCCGAAAGUAGCGCUGGCGAAGCAUCCUGAAAGCGCAGGAUAUAUUUACGUUCCAACACCGAGGAUAACCCCUGCCGGCGGUGGACAUCCUCCAAGGCGCCUCGCUGUCGUGUCCUGAUUAUAUAGGGAACGAUCGAGUCAGCUCUUUCUUUCUUCUCCACCUAGUUCAGCACAACCGGAACUUCAGUUCCCUCCGGAACGCCCUCACAACGCAGCUGUAAAAAUGAAGCUCGACAGUCGCCUCUGAAGGUCUCCACUGAAGCGACAGUAUCCAGUUACCGCACUUGGGGACCGGGACUCUUUGCAGUGGGUAGCCUGGCGGACGUACAUCUCACGGCUUCGAUUCUGUUUUCCUUCAAUCUCCCUGGUGUUUCUUUCCAGCUUUGAAGGGAGUUUCCUGUCGGAACCUCACCGGCUCAGAAACAGUUUCUCCUGGGCACGGACCGACGCCUACCUGUACAUAUUUCUUGUACUCAGCAGGACACGCGAACUCUUUUAAACUGCGCGAGCUCAACCGCACGUUGAACGCGCACUCUUGUGCUCCAUGUCGUCUCUCACUUUUGGCGGUUCCUUUUUACGAAUGUCGGCAAAGCAGUGGGCUAGCGCAUCCGCCGUUCUGUCCUGAAACAGUGGCCGUAACAAAACAGAUUCCCGGCAGGCGUCCCUUCCUGGCCCCCUCCCCUUUCUUUGCGUGGACGCGUUUGGGCGUCUGCCGAGGAGUCAGGCAGGCUGAGCUAAACACACUGCG
rnacentral:lncRNA from 1 species